rnacentral:SRP_RNA from 1 species
AUUGGAGACGGAGCCACCAACUUGGCCAAAAAAGGCCAAGAAGACUGGGACAGGAUUGAAAAGGAGCAGAACAA